rnacentral:lncRNA from 1 species
GUUAGGUCGGGCUGAGGGCAUUUUGGGUAGAAAUUCACGACGACUUUUUGGUCCAUGUCCACACAUGCCUUUGUCAAUGCCUCUGUAUCCAACCCCAUGGCUUCUGAUAAAACCCCCAAGAGCUUGCAUGCCAGCCCCAUCAACUCGUCACUGUACUUCUUUGUCACCUCCCUCCAGGCCUCAGGCUUGUCUGGCCACCUCGAAUAGUCCCGGUGACGAAUCGGAUAUGAAAAGUAGGUCACAAUUUCACGCCAAUCUUGCACAGCUUCUCCCUAAAUUUACAGUCCGUCAAACAUUUAGUAAACUAUAGAUAAUAUUACUGAAGUAAUAGCUAGUAAAUAAAUUUUAAUAGCUUAUAUCUAAAAAUAGUAAUAAAUUAACAAAGUUUAUUUUAGUAUCAGAACAAAAGAUCCUGAGAUUUCGACUUCCUAUAUAUAGCAUUGUGAUCACCUGUAAAUGACUGGACACGAUGAAGCCACCCUUUUUGCCACCGGACAUGUCGAAGCGGAGCUUCUCCUCCGAUGGCAAAGCAAAGAACUCUCUAGCGAGACCGGUCAUUUCCGAUAUGAGCUCAACAUCAACCCCAUGGUCAACAAUCUGGAAAAUACCCCAGUCCUCACAAGCCGCUACAAUCUUCUUGCAAAUCUCGCCCCGGCGGCCUUCCACCUCAUCAAUCCCGGCAAGCGAGAUGAUCGGAAUUUCGUUGCUGAAGUCGUUGUAGGC